UCUCCCACUCCGAAUAGUGAAGCUGAGAGUGCUGCUGUGCGUCUCGUGACUGAUCCCAAAUUAGAACACGAAAGCCGAAAUCAAGAAACGGCAAACAGGCUCAGCGCUUUUUCCCCCGAGAUGCAUGAACGGGAGGACACAUCCUUUUGCAGCAGUUGAAGCUUUUCUAUGGGGAACAAUCAGUUUUCCACAAGAAUACUCUGACACUAUUUUUUGAAAAAUCUCUCUAGAGCAUUACUAAAACAGGUCACAUACAUCAAGAAGAGAACACCUGGAAACUGCUGGCUGCAUUAUCAAACAUCGAGUGUGUGACCAGCACUGUUAAAACAGACAAAGUUCCCACCUAAAAUGACCAUCAGUGCAAUUGAAUCGGCAUCUGAAGAAUGACAAAGAGGGUCAAGUGGACAUAUUGAGGGAAGAAGGUUCCAGACAGAAGGAUGAGCAAACGCAAAGGCUUUGAAAUGGGAUGAGAAGGCCAGUGCCUCCAUUUUACUUGAUAAAAGAAAUAUUUAGAGUGAUGUCAGCAACAUGGCCUAGUGAGCGGUUUUCUUUUUCUCUCCCCCUUCAAACUGCAACUAAAUGGACAUUCCUGGAUCAGCAGAGGAUACUCACACACCACCUCAGGAUGCCUAAAAGACCUGUGCAGCUAAACAUCUGAAGAGGGAUGGACCACCCCAGGGAGGUGGUGGAGACAGGACAAUUUCACAGAAACCGCUGAAGAGGAACUUAACGAAACUGUGGAUGAAGUUAAAUCUAAAACAAUCCAGCGCACUUCUCAGAGGGAGAGAAGAGUUCCCCCGGCUGGCAAACAGCUUCAACAGUAUUUGAUGCUCAGAAUUCUCAAAGCCUGACUUCAAUUUAUUCUAACUCAGACUUGCAAGAAAAGCCUCUCUCUCCAAGCUCAACAACUUUAAAGAAACGUAAUAUUAGAAUUGGGGCAGGAAAAAGAUAGGUAUAUGUUUUGGUGAGAGAAUUAGAAAUAAAUUUUCUUGAGGAAAAACGUUAAUCAGCUUUCAAAUUCGUAUUGGAAACCAUAAUCAUUAUAUUAUAC
rnacentral:lncRNA from 1 species